rnacentral:tRNA from 1 species
UCAGAAAAUAAUAUAUAUUGUACUAGUAUGUAAAUUUUGGAGAUUUAUUGAGAUUUUUUUUCUUUUCUGAA